rnacentral:rRNA from 11 species
GAGUUUGAUCGUGGCUCAGAUUGAACGCUGGCGGCAUGCCUUACACAUGCAAGUCGAACGGCAGCACGGGAGCUUGCUCCUGGUGGCGAGUGGCGAACGGGUGAGUAAUGCAUCGGAACGUAUCCUGGAGUGGGGGAUAACGUAGCGAAAGUUACGCUAAUACCGCAUAUUCUGUGAGCAGGAAAGCGGGGGACCUUCGGGCCUCGCGCUCUUGGAGCGGCCGAUGUCGGAUUAGCUAGUUGGUGAGGUAAAGGCUCACCAAGGCGACGAUCCGUAGCAGGUCUGAGAGGAUGAUCUGCCACACUGGAACUGAGACACGGUCCAGACUCCUACGGGAGGCAGCAGUGGGAAUUUUGGACAAUGGGGGCAACCCUGAUCCAGCCAUGCCGCGUGAGUGAAGAAGGCCUCGGUUGUAAG